rnacentral:rRNA from 1 species
CUACGGGUUGCACCAGUGGGGAAUAUUGCACAAUGGAGGAAACUCUGAUGCAGCAACGCCGCGUGGAGGAUGACACUUUUCGGAGCGUAAACUCCUUUUAUAUAGGAAGAAGAUGACGGUACUAUAUGAAUAAGCGCCGGCUAACUCCGUGCCAGCAGCCGCGGUAAUACGGAGGGCGCAAGCGUGUACUCGGAAUCACUGGGCGUAAAGAGCGUGUAGGCGGAUUAAAAAGUCAGAAGUGAAAUCCUAUAGCUUAACUAUAGAACUGCUUCUGAAACUCUUAAUCUAGAAUAUGGGAGAGGUAGAUGGAAUUUCUGGUGUAGGGGUAAAAUCCGUAGAGAUCAGAAGGAAUACCGAUUGCGAAGGCGAUCUACUAGAACAUUAUUGACGCUGAGACGCGAAAGCGCGGGGAGCAAACAGGAUUAGAUACCCCGGUAGUC